rnacentral:rRNA from 1 species
AGUGAACGCUGGCGGUAGGCCUAACACAUGCAAGUCGAACGGCAGCACAGUAAGAGCUUGCUCUUACGGGUGGCGAGUGGCGGACGGGUGAGGAAUACAUCGGAAUCUACUUUUUCGUGGGGGAUAACGUAGGGAAACUGACGCUAAUACCGCAUACGACCUACGGGUGAAAGCAGUGGAUCUUCGGACCUUGCGCGAUUGAAUGAGCCGAUGUCGGAUUAGCUAGUUGGCGGGGUAAAGGCCCACCAAGGCGACGAUCCGUAGCUGGUCUGAGAGGAUGAUCGGCCACACUGGAACUGAGACACGGUCCAGACUCCUACGGGAGGCAGCAGUGGGGAAUAUUGGACAAUGGGCGCAAGCCUGAUCCAGCAAUACCGCGUGAGUGAAGAAGGCCUUCGGGUUGUAAAGCCCUUUUGUUGGGAAAGAACAGCAGCAGGUUAAUACCCCGCUGUUCUGACGGUACCCAAAGAAUAAGCACCGGCUAACUUCGUG